rnacentral:tRNA from 1 species
UAAUUUUUAAUUUAAAGGAAAAUUUUUCAUUUACAUUGAAAAUUUAAUAAAUUAAUUUAUUAAAAUUAU